rnacentral:rRNA from 1 species
GCAGCCUGCAACUCGGCUGCAUGAAGCUGGAAUCGCUAGUAAUCGCGGAUCAGAAUGCCGCGGUGAAUACGUUCCCGGGUCUUGUACACACCGCCCGUCACACCAUGGGAGUCGGGAAUGCCCGAAGUCAGUGACCCAACCGGAAAAGGGGGGGAGCUGCCGAAGGCAGGCCUGGUAACUGGGGUGAAGUCGUAACAAGGUACC